CGGUCCUAAGGUAGCGAAAUUCCUUGUCGGGUAAGUUCCGACCUGCACGAAUGGCAUAAUGAUGGCCACACUGUCUCCUCCCGAGACUCAGUGAAGUUGAAAUGUUUGUGAUGAUGCAAUCUCCCCGCGGCUAGACGGGAAGACCCCAUGAACCUUUACUGUAGCUUUGCAUUGGACUUUGAACCGAUUUGUGUAGGAUAGGCGGGAGGCAGAGAAAGCGCAACGCCAGUUGUGCCGGAGCCGACGUUGAAAUACCGCCCUGAUUUGUUUGAGGUUCUAACCGCGGCCCGUAAUCCGGGUCCGGGACCGUGCAUGGCAGGCAGUUUGACUGGGGCGGUCUCCUCCUAAAGGGUAACGGAGGAGUACAAAGGUACGCUAGGUACGGUCGGAAAUCGUGCUGAUAGUGCAAAGGCAAAAGCGUGCUUGACUGCGAGACCGACAAGUCGAGCAGAUGCGAAAGCAGGUCUUAGUGAUCCGGUGGCUCUGUAUGGAAGGGCCAUCGCUCAACGGAUAAAAGGUACUCCGGGGAUAACAGGCUGAUACCGCCCAAGAGUUCAUAUCGACGGCGGUGUUUGGCACCUCGAUGUCGGCUCAUCACAUCCUGGGGCUGAAGUAGGUCCCAAGGGUAUGGCUGUUCGCCAUUUAAAGAGGUACGUGAGCUGGGUUUAAAACGUCGUGAGACAGUUUGGUCCCUAUCUGCCGUGGGCGCUGGAAGAUUGACGGGGGCUGCUCCUAGUACGAGAGGACCGGAGUGGACGCACCUCUGAUGUACCGGUUGUCACGCCAGUGGCAGCGCCGGGUAGUUAUGUGCGGAAGAGAUAACCGCUGAAAGCAUCUAAGCGGGAAACUUGCCUGAAGAUAAGUCUUCCCGGAGGCUUGACCUCCCUGAAGAGUCGUUCGAGACCAGGACGUUGAUAGGUCGGGUGUGUAAGCGUUGUGAGACGUUUAGCUAACCGAUACUAAUUGCUCGUGAGGCUUGAUCCU
rnacentral:rRNA from 1 species